UGCCAACACUCUAGGCUUUCUCUGUGGCAGAGGCCUGCAGUCUGUACAAAUCCCACCCACCAACAGAAGCAGGGACUUUCAAACUCGGUUUCACAGGAUGACACUUAAAGAUGUUAUCCUUCUUUAACAUACUGGACCACUGAAAGAAUUCUUCACAUCGACAUGUUCCUUAGCCCCACUGCUGAAAAUGUCCAGGAGUGCAUAGAGAGCCCAGAGGAUGACUGAUAGGGCACAGCUCAGACAGAAAGAAGACCUGAACAAAGGGCCACACAACUGCCUGAAAAACAGAAGAGAAGUGCAGCCUCCUCUUCAACAGUGCUGGGGAUUGACCAGGACAUCACAUUUGUUAGAAAGAAUUGAUUCAAUAAGUUAUGGAAUGGGAGGUCAUAAAAAGGAAUGAAGAACUGUCUUUGUGCUAUAUGGAAUAAUCUCUCAAAAAUGAAUGAAAAUGGUGACACAUUGAGGGAUAGAGAGAUUUCCUGAAGAAGACAAUUGUCACU